GGAGGAAAGUAGGGGAUCGCAAGACCUUGCGCUUUUGGAGCGGCCGAUGUCUGAUUAGCUAGUUGGUGAGGUAAAGGCUUACCAAGGCGUCGAUCAGUAGCUGGUCUGAGAGGACGACCAGCCACACUGGGACUGAGACACGGCCCAGACUCCUACGGGAGGCAGCAGUGGGGAAUUUUGGACAAUAGGGGAAACCCUGAUCCAGCCAUGCCGCGUGAGUGAAGAAGGCCUUCGGGUUGUAAAGCUCUUUCAGCCGGAACGAAACGGUCACGGUUAAUACCCGUGACUACUGACGGUACCGGAAGAAGAAGCACCGGCCAACUACGUGCCAGCAGCCGCGGUAAUACGUAGGGUGCGAGCGUUAAUCGGAAUUACUGGGCGUAAAGCGUGCGCAGGCGGUUUUGUAAGUCAGAUGUGAAAUCCCCGGGCUUAACCUGGGAACUGCGUUUGAAACUACAAAGCUAG
rnacentral:rRNA from 1 species